AGCGAACGCUGGCGGCAGGCCUAACACAUGCAAGUCGAACGAACUCUUCGGAGUUAGUGGCGGACGGGUGAGUAACACGUGGGAACGUGCCUUUUGGUUCGGAAUAACUCAGGGAAACUUGUGCUAAUACCGAAUGUGCCCCUCGGGGGAAAGAUUUAUCGCCAUUAGAGCGGCCCGCGUCUGAUUAGCUAGUUGGUGAGGUAACGGCCCACCAAGGCGACGAUCAGUAGCUGGGCUGAGAGGAUGACCAGCCACACUGGGACUGAGACACGGCCCAGACUCCUACGGGAAGCAGCAGUGGGGAAUCUUGCGCAAUGGGCGAAAGCCUGACGCAGCCAUGCCGCGUGAAUGAUGAAGGUCUGAGGAUUGUAAAAUUCUUUCACCGGGGACGAUAAUGACGGUACCCGGAGAAGAAGCCCCGGCUAACUUCGUG
rnacentral:rRNA from 1 species